ACACGACUACAUUAGAUACCCGUGUAGUCCUAGCCGUAAACGAUACUCGCUAGGUGUCGGCCACGGUGCGACCGUUGUCGGUGCCGUAGGGAAGCCGUGAAGCGAGCCACCUGGGAAGUACGGCCGCAAGGCUGAAACUUAAAGGAAUUGGCGGGGAGCACCACAAGAGGUGGAGGCUGCGGUUCAAUUGGACUCAACGCCGGAAGACUCAUCGGGAGCGACAGCAGUAUGAUUGCCAGGUUGAUGACCUUGCUUGACAAGCUG
rnacentral:rRNA from 1 species